rnacentral:lncRNA from 1 species
AGUCUUAUUCCACUGCGAUACGCAGUAGUCAGUUGACCACAGAGGAUUUUAUAAAGGAGAAGAGAGACCAGCAUAGGACAGAGAUACAUCAAACCCACCUCUCACCAGAGACACCAGUCCCUUGCUUGCCUCUGUCGCUAAGCCCAGAACAUGCCCUGCAGCUGCUCCUCUGGAGGCCAUCUCCCAGCCAGGGGCUCCACUGCUCCACUUUAAUUAAUCUGGGUGGCUGAAAGUGUUUUAACCCAAGUAACUUAAGACAUGAAUUAAUAGUGAAUUUAUUUCCUCUAGGACAGAACCAGACUUAACUUUAUUAGUAAACUGUAACUGUUUUAGAAGUAAAGAAAAAAAAGGUUACUACAUCUAGUUAAAUUCACUUCCGAUUGGUUGAAACACAAGGGAGGGGCUGGGCCGGGUGGCUCACACCUGUAAUCGGAGCACUUUGGGAGGCCAAGGCAGGUGGAUCACUUGAGGCCAGGAGUUCGAGACCAGCCUGGCCAACAUGGUGAAACCUUGUCUCUACUAAAAUACAGAAAUUAGCUGGGCAUGGUGGCACAUGCUUGUAAUCCCAGCUACUUGGGAGGGAAAGCUCUUUUGGUUAACAGCAUAUUUACAAUUAGUUAACUGUAUUCUUAAAUACUUUUAACCUGAGUAACAUUUAUAAAUAUGUUAU